GUGCCAUGCUGACAUGAAGGUGGUUGGGCAAGCCAUGUGGACUUUGUGAGGGUCUAGGUGGACUAGCAUUAGUCUAGUCCAGAACAGGAGCCCCCCAAGUCGUUGCUCCUAGGCAUAGGAGUGAUGACUUUAGGUUUGUGCCCAAACGCAGAAGGAAAUCUCCUUGCAACCUCUCUUGAUCAAAAGUGGAAGAGGAAGUUUUUCGUUAAAGCAUUGCUCGUAGCAAAUACAUGCAAUGUUUUGCUCAAAUGUGUUGCUCGUAUCUCCUGCGAGGAGAUACUGCACAAGAUGGAAUAGUUAUUCGUAUCUCCUGCGAGGAGAUACUGCACAAGAU
rnacentral:lncRNA from 1 species